UGAACGCUGGCGGCGUGCCUAAUACAUGCAAGUCGAGCGACCGGACGAGAAGCUUGCUUCUCUGAUGUUAGCGGCGGACGGGUGAGUAACACGUGGAUAACCUACCUAUAAGACUGGGAUAACUUCGGGAAACCGUAGCUAAUACCGGAUAAUAUUUUGAACCGCAUGGUUCAAAAGUGAAAGACGGUCUUGCUGUCACUUAUAGAUGGAUCCGCGCUGCAUUAGCUAGUUGGUAAGGUAACGGCUUACCAAGGCAACGAUGCAUAGCCGACCUGAGAGGGUGAUCGGCCACACUGGAACUGAGACACGGUCCAGACUCCUACGGGAGGCAGCAGUAGGGAAUCUUCCGCAAUGGGCGAAAGCCUGACGGAGCAACGCCGCGUGAGUGAUGAAGGUCUUCGGAUCGUAAAACUCUGUUAUUAGGGAAGAACAUAUGUGUAAGUAACUGUGCACAUCUUGACGGUACCUAAUCAGAAAGCCACGGCUAACUACGUG
rnacentral:rRNA from 1 species